AGGCUGAGAGCCGUGCUGUCCUCUUUCCCUCAUGGGGCCGGGUGAGCUGUGGUUGCCAACGGCAGUCCCCCGGCAGUGUGUGCAGCCUAUUGCUUGCUCGGAUUGCCCAACAGGACCUUAGGAAAAGCC
rnacentral:snoRNA from 1 species